rnacentral:rRNA from 1 species
AGUGAACGCUGGCGGCAGGCCUAACACAUGCAAGUCGAGCGGCAGCGGGUUCCCGCGAGGGGAUGCCGGCGAGCGGCGGACGGGUGAGGAACACAUCGGAAUCUGCCUGGGUUGUGGGGGAUAACGUAGGGAAACUUACGCUAAUACCGCAUGAGACCCUGAGUCGACGGACUGGGGGUNAAAGUGAGGGACCUUCGGGCCUCACGCGACCAGAUGAGCCGAUGUCGGAUUAGCUAGUUGGCGGGGUAACGGCCCGCCAAGGCGACGAUCCGUAGCUGGUCUGAGAGGAUGAUCAGCCACACUGGGACUGAGACACGGCCCAGACUCCGUAC